AAAGUCGUAACAAGGUUUCCGUAGGUGAACCUGCGGAAGGAUCAUUACUGAGUUAGGGUCUUCUAGGCCCGACCUCCAACCCUUUGCCUACCUUACCUCUUGUUGCUUCGGCUGGCCCGUCCCCCCUAGAAAUAGGGGUCGACCGCCGGAGGGUUUACACCCUCUGGCCCGCGCCCGCCGAUGGCCCUCAACCAAAACUCUUGUUCAAUCGUGAAUUGUCUGAGUACAAAAAACAAAAUAAACCAAAAACUUUCAACAACGGAUCUCUUGGUUCUG
rnacentral:misc_RNA from 1 species